UUUGUAGCUCAGUGGUAGUGCAUCUCCUUUGCAAGCAGAAGGUCCCAGUUUCAAUCCCUAAUAGCACAU